rnacentral:rRNA from 1 species
GACGAACGCUGGCGGCGUGCUUAACACAUGCAAGUCGAACGGAUUGGCGAACGGGUGUGUGACACGUGGGUGACCUGCCCUGCACUUCUGGAUAAGCCUGUUGGACUGGGUCUAAUACCCGAUAGUGUGGGAUGGGCCCGGGGCCUCUCGGCUUGUUGGUGGGGUGAUGGCCUACCAAGGCGGCGACGGGUAGCCGGCAUGAGAGGGUGGACGGCCACAAUGGGACUGAGACACGGCCCAGAGGCCGACGGGAGGCAGAAGGGGGGAAGAUUGAACAACUGGCGGAAGCCUGAUGCAGGGACGAUGAGUGGGGGAUGACGGGAUUCGGGUUGUAAACUCCUUUAAGCAUCGACGCGGUAGAUGGAGAAGAAGCACCGGCUAACUACGUGCCAGCAUCCGCGGUAAUAC